UUUAACUGGCAACUCACAAGAGUACGCCCUAGCCGCCUAACCGCGGCUACAUCCACCACUCCUUCCCUCCGAGAGGGGUGACUGGGUGCCAUAUUAUCGGAGGAAGGCCUGACAGACGCCGAUAUCGACUGGCCUAACCCAUCGGCUGGCUCUGAGAAGUUACCCGUCGGUAAGUGCUUCCUAGAGCGAGACUCAAUUACCGACUAAGCCUGUAGUACAUCCUUGUCGGAGAGUCUUCUGGACGGGGAGUUCGACCCUCCCCCGUCUCCACCA
rnacentral:tmRNA from 1 species